UGGGGAAUUUUGCACAAUGGGGGAAACCCUGAUGCAGCCACGCCGCGUGAUUUAGAAGGCCUUCGGGUUGUAAAAAUCUUUUCUACGGGAAGAAAAUGACAGUACCAUAGGAAUAAGGACCGGCUAAUUACGUGCCAGCAGCCGCGGUAAUACGUAAGGUCCGAGCGUUGUCCGGAAUCAUUGGGCGUAAAGGGUACGUAGGCGGGUAAGAAAGUUAGAAGUGAAAUCCUAUAGCUCAACUAUAGUAAGCUUUUAAAACUGCUCAUCUUGAGGUAUGGAAGGGAAAGUGGAAUUCCUAGUGUAGCGGUGAAAUGCGCAGAUAUUAGGAGGAAUACCGGUGGCGAAGGCGACUUUCUGGCCAUAACCUGACGCUGAGGUACGAAAGCGUGGGUAGCAAACAGG
rnacentral:rRNA from 1 species